UACGUAGGGUGCAAGCGUUAUCCGGAUUCACUGGGUUUAAAGGGUGCGUAGGUGGGCAGGUAAGUCAGUGGUGAAAUCUCCGGGCUUAACCCGGAAACUGCCAUUGAUACUGCGGUGCUUGAGGACUGGAGAGGAGACUGGAAUUCAUGGUGUAGCAGUGAAAUGCGUAGAGAUCAUGAGGAAGACCAGUGGCGAAGGCGGGUCUCUGGACAGUUCCUGACACUGAGGCACGAAGGCCAGGGGAGCAAACGGG
rnacentral:rRNA from 1 species